rnacentral:tRNA from 1 species
AUAGUUGAGUUGGGAGAGCGUUAGACUGAAAAUCUAAAUGUCGUCGGUUCGAUUCCGGCU